GGUUUUAUAUUCAAAAAUGAAGUUAAAUUGCAAAUUUAAAAGUAAGCUUAAGCUUUAGAGCCU
rnacentral:tRNA from 1 species